GAUGAACGCUGGCGGCGUGCCUAAUACAUGCAAGUCGAGCGAACAGACGAGGAGCUUGCUCCUCUGACGUUAGCGGCGGACGGGUGAGUAACACGUGGAUAACCUACCUAUAAGACUAGGAUAACUUCGGGAAACCGGAGCUAAUACCGGAUAAUAUAUUGAACCGCAUGGUUCAAUAGUGAAAGACGGUUUUGCUGUCACUUAUAGAUGGAUCCGCGCCGCAUUAGCUAGUUGGUAAGGUAACGGCUUACCAAGGCAACGAUGCGUAGCCGACCUGAGAGGGUGAUCGGCCACACUGGAACUGAGACACGGUCCAGACUCCUACGGGAGGCAGCAGUAGGGAAUCUUCCGCAAUGGGCGUAAGCCUGACGGAGCAACGCCGCGUGAGUGAUGAAGGUCUUCGGAUCGUAAAACUCUGUUAUUAGGGAAGAACAAAUGUGUAAGUAACUAUGCACGUCUUGACGGUACCUAAUCAGAAAGCCACGGCUAACUACGUG
rnacentral:rRNA from 1 species